rnacentral:misc_RNA from 1 species
AUAUAUCAUUGACAACUCUUCCUUUCCUCCCUCUAUCUUUCAAACUGUCCAUUUUUCUCCAACAAAGUCAUGACUUCUCCUUCCCGUUCCCCAAGUUUUCCCUCAACAAGGCUAAAUAUGCUUGUGGGAUUGCUUGCAAUGAGUUAUUUAGUGGUGGGUUUAGCUGGUAACUUCAAUCAAGAUUUUGACAUCACCUGGGGUGAUGGUAGAGCAAAGAUUCUUGAAAAUGGCCAACUUCUCACCCUCUCUCUUGACAAAACUUCUGGUUCAGGGUUUAGAUCAAAGAACCAAUACUUGUUUGGUAAAAUUGAUAUGCAGCUAAAGCUAGUUCCUGGAAACUCUGCUGGAACCGUUACUGCUUACUAUCUAUCUUCCCUGGGGUCAGCCCAUGAUGAAAUAGACUUCGAAUUCCUUGGUAACCUUAGUGGAGAUCCCUAUAUUCUCCAUACAAACGUAUUCACCCAAGGAAAAGGAAACAGAGAACAACAAUUCUAUCUCUGGUUUGAUCCCACCAAAGACUUCCACACCUACUCCAUUCUUUGGAACCCUCAAAGCAUCAUGUAAGACAUCUCUCUCUUGUUUUUGCUAUUGUAUUGAUUUGGUAUCAACUGAUAUUUGAAUUCAAUAGCUCAUAGUUUUGAAAAUGAAAGAAAUUCUUAUCUAAAUUUAAUUUAUUGUGAAUCCAAAGACUUGUAUUUAUGUUUUUUAUUUAUUAUAGAUUAAAUUUAGAUAAACUUUUUUGAAAAUACAUUAGCAUUGUAUCAGAAUUUAGUAUUUUUAACGCAUAUUUUCUUUUUAUUUUUUAUUUGAAAGUUUCUUCGUGGAUGGGACUCCCAUUAGAGAGUUCAAGAACUUGGAAUCAAAUGGCAUUCCAUUUCCAAAGAGCCAACCAAUGUGGAUAUAUUCUAGCCUAUGGAAUGCUGAUGAUUGGGCCACAAGGGGUGGGCUUGUGAAGACAGAUUGGAGCCAAGCACCUUUCACAGCUUCCUAUAGGAACUUCAAUGCUCAGGCUUGCAUUUGGUCCUCUGGAUCUUCCUCUUGCUCCUCCAAUUCCUCAAAUAAUUAUUGGCUUACAGAAUCUUUGGACACCAGAGAGCAAGCAAGAAUCAAAUGGGUCCAACAAAAUUACAUGAUUUACAACUAUUGCACUGAUACAAAGAGAUUCCCUCAAGGACUCCCUCCUGAGUGCUCACUAGCUUGAAUGUGAAAGGAGAUGCUCUAUUCUUUUGUAUUGUUUGUUCUAAUAAUGCAACCAAUAAAUUUUCAGUAAGAUUAUACGGAAAUAAAAUGUUCUUUUGAUGACAGAAAAAA